AUUGAACGCUGGCGGCAUGCUUUACACAUGCAAGUCGAACGGCAGCGCGGGCUUCGGCCUGGCGGCGAGUGGCGAACGGGUGAGUAAUACAUCGGAACGUGCCCAGUAGUGGGGGAUAGCUCGGCGAAAGCCGGAUUAAUACCGCAUACGACCUGAGGGUGAAAGCGGGGGAUCUUCGGACCUCGCGCUAUUUGAGCGCCGGAUGGCAGAUUAGCUAGUUGGUGGGGUAAAGGCCUACCAAGGCGACGAUCUGUAGCUGGUCUGAGAGGACGACCAGCCACGCUGGGACUGAGACACGGCCCAGAAUCCUACGGGAGGCAGCAGUGGGGAAUUUUGGACAAUGGGCGAAAGCCUGAUCCAGCAAUGCCGCGUGUGUGAUGAAGGCCUUCGGGUUGUAAAGCACUUUUGGCGGGAACGAAAAGGACUGUGCCAAUACCACGGUUCGAUGACGGUACCCGCAGAAUAAGCACCGGCUAACUACGUG
rnacentral:rRNA from 1 species